GACGAACGCUGGCGGCGUGCCUAAUACAUGCAAGUCGAGCGGACGGAUGGGAGCUUGCUCCCAGACCGUCAGCGGCGGACGGGUGAGUAACACGCGGGCAACCUACCUGUAAGACUGGGAUAACUCCGGGAAACAGGGGCUAACACCUGAUAACUCUUUCCCUCACAUGAGGGAAAGCGUAAGGGUAGCAUCUUGUUACCACUUGCAGAUGGCCCCGCGGCGCAUUAGAUGGUUGGUGAGGUAACGGCUACCCAAGGCGACGAUGAGGAGCCGACCUGAGGGGGGGGUCGGCCACACUGGGGCUGAGGAACGGCCCAGAAGCCUACGAGAGGAAGCAGUAGGGAAUAUUCCGGCAUGGAGGGAAGUAUGACGGAGCAGCGCCGCGUGAGGGAUGAAGGUUUUCGGAUCGUAGAACUCUUUUGUCAGGGAAGAAGAAGUACCGGAGUAACUGCCGGUGCCUUGACGGUAGCUGAACAGAAAGCCACGGCUAACUACGUG
rnacentral:rRNA from 1 species